UACGUAGGGUGCGAGCGUUAAUCGGAAUUACUGGGCGUAAAGCGUGCGCAGGCGGUUUGGUAAGACAGAUGUGAAAUUCCCGGGCUUCACCUGGGAACUGCAGUUGCGACUGCCAGGCUAGAGUGCGGCAGAGGGGAGGGGAAUUCCGCGUGUAGCAGCGAAAUGCGUAGAUAUGCGGUGAAACGCCGAUGGCGAAGGCAACUCCCUGGGCCUGCACUUUCGCUCAGGCACGACAGCGUGUGGAGCAAACAGG
rnacentral:rRNA from 1 species